rnacentral:tRNA from 1 species
AUCAAAAUAGCUUAAGUUUAAAGCUCAAUAUUGAAGAUAUUGUGAUAAAUAAAUAUUUUUUUGAUA